rnacentral:lncRNA from 1 species
UAUAAUCUAACUAUUUGAGAAGGUGUUCUCCUUCUCACCACAGGUCUACACAUUACUCUCUCCCCUUCUGUUAAACAUCUUUUCAUUACCCAAGUGAGCAGCUUGGCAACCGUGAACAGAACGGCCACAGCAUGGGAUGUCACAGACUGGCAGUCUUUAACUUUCCAACUUGUGCUGGCUACAGUUGAACAAAAGAAACAAGAGUUUUACUCCUUUGAGAUGGCAAACCAUGGUUUGUAGAUGACCAGCAAGCAAGACCUCAGCUAUCAUGGCAUAAGUAAGAUUACAAACAUGUGUUCCUAACUGCUU